CUACGGGUGGCUGCAGUGAGGAAUAUUGCACAAUGGGGGGAACCCUGAUGCAGCAACGCCGCGUGGAGGAUGACGCAUUUCGGUGUGUAAACUCCUUUUAUAUGUCAAGAAAAUGGCGGUAGCAUAUGAAUAAGCACCGGCUAACUCCGUGCCAGCAGCCGCGGUAAUACGGAGGGUGCAAGCGUUACUCGGAAUCACUGGGCGUAAAGGACGCGUAGGCGGGUUGGAAAGUCAGGUGUGAAAUCCUACAGCUUAACUGUAGAACUGCACUUGAAACUUCUAAUCUAGAGUGUGGGAGGGGGAGAUGGAAUUAGUGGUGUAGGGGUAAAAUCCGUAGAUAUCACUAGGAAUACCUAAAGCGAAGGCGAUCUCCUGGAACAUUACUGACGCUAAGGCGUGAAAGCGUGGGGAGCAAACGGGAUUAGAUACCCCGGUAGUC
rnacentral:rRNA from 1 species